rnacentral:lncRNA from 1 species
AUGGUCAGCCUCCUCUCUCUCCUUGGGCCUCUCAGUGUCUGUACACAGGUUUAUUUUUUAUAUGAAGGCUCUAAGUCAGGCCAAGUUGUAUUUCUUUAUCUUGCUGACCUCUCUUGUCCACUGCUGGAGAACAAGGCUUCCUUCACAGCAAAGGUCCACCAGGACCUCUUUCUUCCCCGGACUCGCAGCCUGUCUACCACUCUGCUCCUGCCUAGCAAAGCUACGCUCCCGUUUGAGCCUGACUUAAAACCUUCCAACAAGACCGUUGUCUGCAAAUUACUGCCUCUGAGGCCCUGAAGGAGUCAAUCAACGUCUAUAAGUUUCAGUUUCCUUGUCAACAAAAUAGGGCAAUACGUACACCACAAGACUGCUUGUAAAGAUAAAGUGAGAUAAUAUUGGUGGAAGUGUUCUCUUUACAUAAAUAAUUAUUAUUUCAUAUAUGACCAUGUUUUAAGCAUCAUUUUAUUAAUGUUGUCAGUUAAAUAAUUUGAAGUUCUUGUCUCCAGUGAAGCCUGCCAUAUUAGGCUUAAGUAAGAGGCCACAUUAAGCAGCAAGAGUUUCUUUUCGGAUAUAUCAUGGCUUAAGAGAUUAGUUUCAGCAGCUUGGAAAUAAGUGGGGAUUAUUAUCAUGGUGGAAGGCAAUAAGACUCAUCCACGGUCCUAACUGGAUUGACUUUAUAGACAGAACAACAUUCCAAAAACCAUUCUUGCCUCAUGUUUUAACUGAGAACCAGGAUAAAGUAAAACUAUUAAUUUAAGCAAGGCCUAAAAUGUUGGGAUUUCUUCAGUAACAUUAUCCUUCCGCUGAUUUUGUGACUACAAAUUUUCAGAAAUUAGUGAAAGCAAUGACGUCGCUCGUGGUUGGGAAGCAGUCGGCUCACUAAGAGAAAGGUAGCAGCUAUUUCGCAACAGAGCAGGGGAAUAAAAAAGGGCCUAGAAAAGCCUGUCGCUUUCA